rnacentral:rRNA from 1 species
UCAAGUGAAUUAGAGCUUACAGUGAAUACCUAGGCAUUUAAAAGCGAUGAAGGGCGUGGCUACCUGCGAAAUUCUUCGAGAAGCUGGAAGCAAGCUGUGAUACGAAGGUACCCGAAUGAGGAAACUCUUUAAUACUUCUUGUUGAAUUUAUAGACAAGAUAGAGCAAACCUGGUGAACUGAAACAUCUUAGUAACCAGAGGAAAAGAAAGCAAAAGCGAUUUCCGAAGUAGCGGCGAGCGAAAUGGAAAUAGUCUAAACCAUAUAUAUAUAUUCUUAAUAUGGGGUUGAGGGACUGUCAAAAUUAAGAUUAGAUAAAACUAGGUGAAAUGUUUGGAAUGUCAUAUCAUAGAAGGUGAAAAUCCUGUAACCGAAAGUUAAGUCUACUUAGACUGUAUCCCAAGUAACAUGGAAUAAGUGAAACUCCGUGUGAAUCCACGAGGACCACCUCGUAAGACUAAAUAUUCUUAAAUGACCGAUAGUGUAAUAGUACCGUGAGGGAAAGGUGAAAAGAACCCCGGAAGGGGAGUGAAAUAGAACAUGAAACUGUAAGCUUACAAACAGUAGGAGAAUGACUAAUCAUUUGACUGCGUGCAUGUUGAAGAAUGAGCCAGCGACUUGCAAGUAGUGGCAGGUUAAAGUAAAAAAUACUGAAUCCAUAGUGAAAGCGAGCUUUAAGAAAGCGUUAGUCACUGUUUGCAGACCCGAACCCGGAUGAUCUAGCCAUGGCCAGGAUGAAGCUUCGGUAACACUAAGUGAAGGUCCGAACCGACUGAUGUUGAAAAAUCAGCGGAUGAGUUGUGGUUAGGGGUGAAAUGCCAAUCGAAUCCGGAGCUAGCUGGUUCUCCCCGAAAUGCGUUUUGGCGCAGCGACUAACUUCUAAGUUUAGGGGUAAAGCACUGUUUCGGUGAGGGCUGCGAGAGCAGUACCAAAUCGAGGCAAACUCAGAAUACUAAAUGAAUAGUUAGUCAGUGAGACAGUGGGGGAUAAGCUCCAUUGUCAAAAGGGAAACAGCCCAGAUCACAAGUUAAGGCCCUUAAAUAAUUGCUAAGUGAUAAAGGAAGUGAGGAUGCAUAGACAACCAAGAGGUUUGCUUAGAAGCAGCAAUCCUUUAAAGAGUGCGUAAUAGCUCACUGGUUAAGCAACCUUGCGCCGAAAAUUAACGGGACUAAGUAAUUUGCCGAAACUGUGGGAUAUUAAUAUCGGUAGGGGAGCGUUCUGCUAUAGAUUGAAGCACUAGCGAAAGCGGGUGUUGACGAAGCAGAAGUGAGAAUGUUGGCUUGAGUAGCGAAAACAUUGGUGAGAAUCCAAUGCCCUGAAAACCUAAGGUUUCCUUUGGAAGGUUCGUCCGCAAAGGGUAAGUCAGGUCCUAAGACGAGGCUGAAAAGCGUAGUUAAUGGUUAACAGUUUAAUAUUACUGUACUAUUUGUUAUUGAUAGCGAGGGACGGAGAAGGCUAAAUCAGCCGGAUGUUGGUUACCGGUUCAAACUUUCGAAGUGUUGAUGAGUGGUGAAAACAUUCAGAGCUAAGAAGUGAGUACAAGAAACUAAGGUUUUAAAGUGAUUGAUGUCCUGCUUCCUAGAAAAGCUUGUACUAUCAUAAGUAACAAAUACCUGUACCCGAAACCGACACAGGUAGGUAGGUAGAGUAUACCAAAGGGCGCGAGAUAACUCUCUCUAAGGAACUCGGCAAAAUAGCCCCGUAACUUUGGAAGAAGGGGUACCCUAAUAGGGUUGCAAUAACCAGGUCCAAGCGACUGUUUAUCAAAAACAUAGGUUUCCGCUAAGUCGUAAGACGAUGUAUGGGAGCUGACGCCUGCCCAGUGCCAGAAGGUUAAAGAAAUUGGUUAGUUGUAAGAUGAAGCUGAUGACUCAAGCCCUGGUGAACGGCGGCCGUAACUAUAACGGUCCUAAGGUAGCGAAAUUCCUUGUCGGGUAAGUUCCGACCCGCACGAAAGGCGUAACGAUUUGGACACUGUCUCAGAGAGAGACUCGGCGAAAUAGACUUGUCUGUGAAGAUGCAGACAACCUGCACCCGGACAGAAAGACCCUAUGAAGCUUUACUGUAGCUUAGAGUUGAAUUUGGGUUUUAUUUGCGCAGUAUAAGUGGGAGACUAAGAAAAUAUUUUUGCGGAAGUAUUGGAGUCUACAAUGAGAUACCACUCUAGUAAAACUAAAAUUCUAAUUCUGAUAGCCUUGAACAGGCCAGAAAACAGUUCUAGGUGGGCAGUUUGACUGGGGCGGUCGCCUCCUAAAAAGUAACGGAGGCGUACAAAGGUUUUCUCAGAUUGGUCAGAAAUCAAUCGUAGAGUAUAAAGGUAUAAGAAAGCUUAACUGCAAGACCCACAAGUCAAGCAGAGACGAAAGUCGGUCUUAGUGAUCCGGCGGUGCUGAGUGGAAAGGCCGUCGCUCAACGGAUAAAAGUUACUCUAGGGAUAACAGGCUAAUCUCCCCCAAGAGUCCACAUCGACGGGGAGGUUUGGCACCUCGAUGUCGGCUCAUCGCAUCCUGGGGCGGUAGUACGUCCCAAGGGUUGGGCUGUUCGCCCAUAAAAGCGGUACGCGAGCUGGGUUCAGAACGUCGUGAGACAGUUCGGUCCAUAUCCGGUGUAGGCGCUAGAGUAUUGAGAGGAUUUCUCCUUAGUACGAGAGGACCGGGAGAAACAUACCUCUGGUGUACCAGUUAUCGUGCCAACGGUAAACGCUGGGUAGCUACGUAUGGUCUGGAUAACCGCUGAAAGCAUCUAAGCGGGAAGCCUACCUCAAGAUUAGUACUCUCACCGCUAUAAGCGGGUAAGGUCACGGCAAGACGAGCCGUUUUAUAGGUAUUAAGUAUAAGUAUAGUAAUAUACUCAGCUCAAAUGUACUAACAGACCGAGGACUUGAAAAA